GAUGAACGCUGGCGGCGUGCCUAAUACAUGCCAGUCGAGCGAACAGAUGAGGAGCUUGCUCCUCUGACGUUAGCGGCGGACGGGUGAGCAACACGUGGAUAACCUACCUAUAAGACUGGGAUAACUUCGGGAAACCGGAGCUAAUACCGGAUAAUAUAUUGAACCGCAUGGUUCAAUAGUGAAAGACGGUUUUGCUGUCACUUAUAGAUGGAUCCGCGCCGCAUUAGCUAGUUGGUAAGGUAACGGCUUACCAAGGCAACGAUGCGUAGCCGACCUGAGAGGGUGAUCGGCCACACUGGAACUGAGACACGGUCCAGACUCCUACGGGAGGCAGCAGUAGGGAAUCUUCCGCAAUGGGCGAAAGCCUGACGGAGCAACGCCGCGUGAGUGAUGAAGGUCUUCGGAUCGUAAAACUCUGUUAUUAGGGAAGAACAAAUGUGUAAGUAACUAUGCACGUCUUGACGGUACCUAAUCAGAAAGCCACGGCUAACUACGUG
rnacentral:rRNA from 1 species